rnacentral:rRNA from 1 species
UACGUAGGGUGCAAGCGUUGUCCGGAAUUAUUGGGCGUAAAGGGCUCGUAGGCGGUCCAUCGCGUCGGGGAGUGAAAAAGCUGGGGCCUCAACCCCCAGUCCUUGCUUUCGAUACGGGUGGACUAGAGGUAUGCAGGGGAGAACGGAAUUCCUGGUGUAGCGGUGAAAUGCGCAGAUAUCAGGAGGAACACCGGUGGCGAAGGCGGUUCUCUGGGCAUUACCUGACGCUGAGGAGCGAAAGCGUGGGGAGCAAACAGG